GACGAACGCUGGCGGCGUGCCUAAUACAUGCAAGUCGAACGCAGUGGGGACGGGUGAGGAACACGUGGGUAAUCACCCAUCAGAGGGGAUAACACUUGGAAACAGGUCCUAAACCUAUACUGAUGGAUGGACCCGUGGUGCAUUAGCUAGUUGGUGAGGUAACGGCUCACCAAGUCCACGAUGCAUAGCGGGCCGGAGAGGGUGGUCGGCCACACGGGGACUGAGACACGGCCCAGACUCCUACGGGAGGCAGCAGUGGGGAAUAUUCGGCAAUGGACGAAAGUCUGAGGAAGCAACGCGGCGUGUGUGAAGAAGGUUUUGGGGUCGUAAAACACGGUUGUUAGGGAGGCGGUAUCUAAACAGAAAGCCACGGCUAACUACGUGCCAGCAGCCGCGGUAAUAC
rnacentral:rRNA from 1 species